rnacentral:rRNA from 1 species
CCUACGGGUGGCAGCAGUGGGGAAUAUUGGACAAUGGGGGCAACCCUGAUCCAGCAAUGCCGCGUGAGUGAUGAAGGCCUUAGGGUUGUAAAGCUCUUUCGGCGGGGACGAUGAUGACGGUACCCGCAGAAGAAGCCCCGGCUAACUUCGUGCCAGCAGCCGCGGUAAUACGAAGGGGGCAAGCGUUGUUCGGAAUCACUGGGCGUAAAGGGCGCGCAGGCGGUCCUUCAAGUCAGAUGUGAAAGCCCCGGGCUCAACCUGGGAACUGCAUUUGAGACUGGAGGACUUGAGGACGGGAGAGGAGAGUGGAAUUCCCAGUGUAGAGGUGAAAUUCGUAGAUAUUGGGAAGAACACCGGUGGCGAAGGCGGCUCUCUGGACCGUACCUGACGCUGAGGCGCGAAAGCGUGGGGAGCAAACAGGAUUAGAUACCCUGGUAGUC